rnacentral:rRNA from 1 species
ACCAGACUCCUACGGGAGGCAGCAGUGGGGAAUAUUGGGCAAUGGGCGCAAGCCUGACCCAGCAACGCCGCGUGAAGGAAGAAGGCUUUCGGGUUGUAAACUUCUUUUCUCAGGGACGAAGAGAGUGACGGUACCUGAGGAAUAAGCCACGGCUAACUACGUGCCAGCAGCCGCGGUAAUACGUAGGUGGCAAGCGUUAUCCGGAUUUACUGGGUGUAAAGGGCGUGUAGGCGGGACUGCAAGUCAGAUGUGAAAACCAUGGGCUCAACCUGUGGCCUGCAUUUGAAACUGUAGUUCUUGAGUACUGGAGAGGCAGGCGGAAUUCCUAGUGUAGCGGUGAAAUGCGUAGAUAUUAGGAGGAACACCGGCGGCGAAGGCGGCCUGCUGGACCGUAACUGACGUUGAGGCUCGAAAGCGUGGGGAGCAAACAGGAUUAGAUACCCCCGUAGCC